AGGUUCCCCGUGUAUCACCGGUGGUAAGAGGAGGGAACGCUCGGAUCAGAACCAGGACCAAGCAGCAGGGGGAGUAGAGCUCUCCAGCCGAGCACAGCAACCUGAUUCUGAAGACAUCGUUUACAGUGCGAUUGACACCAGCAAACACAACAAUACAAAGAAAGGUAAGAAUCUCUGUAAAUUGUGUCUCUGAAUUCCCAAGCUGAACAUCCCUCUCACACUUCCCUAAACGAUCAGUGAUUGUAACCCAUGACAGGUGUGAGUGGCUUCUGCUUGUUUUCUAUAUCAGUUCACAUGUGCAGCUGCCCCUGGCUCUCAUGGUGUAAGAGUGUCUCCUCUGAGCUCUUUGGUGAGCAACAGGACUGCGGAGCUGAGCUGCUCUGAAACCAGAAGACCCCCCGCAGUCUGUGGGGAACCCCUGAACACCAAGGGGGGCCCUGUCUGCUAAAACAGUGGGAGCUAUUGAUCCAAUGGGUUUACUGUCCUGUUUGUAUUAACAGUGUGUUUAUUUUACCAGUCAAACCUGCAGAGACUGACACUGUGUACUCAGCUGUGAAAAUAACUGCAGGCAAACCCACAGCAGAUAAUGCAGAGUCCAUGUAUGCCACAGUCCUCCCAAAGAAGAAAAGGAAGGCAAG